CGGCUGCUUAAAGCCCCGGGGGUUAUUCACAUUUUCGUCGGAGCUGCCGCUUCUCCAGGCGCCCUACGGCAGUCCAGCGGUGACCUCAGUCACCAACCCCGAGGUUCUCCCAGCUUGUGUGCGCUGUUCCUGCUCCCACGACCGUGAUCCCGGUGGAAAAGAGGAACAUCAUCUGUUCCUGAGAAGAAUAACUUGAAACCGCAGGUACCGUGCAUGUGGAGAUGUGGGGUCCUGGGAAUCUCCAGCACUGGUCACACUCCUAAUUCCACUUCCAAACCUCAUUCACGACCCUGAAUGGAAUAAGUAAUAUAUAAAUACAUAAUAAAGUGUAUAUAUUUAUAUAAAACAUUUUUAUUUAUAAACAUAAUGCAUAGUAAUGUAAAAUAGAAAAAUUUUGAACUAUAUAUAUGGAAUAAAAUAAAAUAGGACAAUGUUCAAUGCUGAUUACCUUGCUAAAUGAUCAUUAGAUUUAAGAUGGAAUUGAAUAAAAUGGAAAAGAAAAUGCCAGCCUGCAUCACAGGCAAUGAACAUAACUAUAGUUUCAUGUAACAUUUGUUUCUAUUAAAUAUUUGUGCUUA